GCCUGUGAGCACACUUCGUUGUUAAACAAAGCUGUAGCCUCUCGACACAGGAAGCCGUGAGAGAAAUGGAGUUCUGAAGGCCGCAGCCGGCCACAGCUGCUGGCCGCCUGAACGACACAGCUGCAACGUCGCGGGCUCUCGCGCGAGCACGCGCCGACCGCGGCGGCCUACCCCCCACCUCCCUCCCUCCCUCCCUCCCCGCCAUACCGCAGCUUUGUGAGCCAGUCUAGCGGGAGGCGUUGACUGUGUCGCGCGAUGGCGUCAUUUUCAGCUCGGACCUCGCAUCUGGGCCAGUGCAACGGCCGUGCAGUACUGCAGGGCUGGCGCCAUGACGGAAACGCAGUGGCUGGUGCUUCUGAUCGCUCAGGUGGUCGUGGCCUUCGUGUGUCCGCCGAACAUCUGUGAGAAAGCCAAGUGCCCCCACGUCUCUGCGGAGACCUGUCACGGUCGACUCAGCACCGAAGGCAGCCUCUGCGGGUGCUGUGAGGUCUGCAUGCACGAAUUAGGGCUUGGAGAACCAUGCGUGUUCUUGCCAUUGCUCGGAGUGCCCCAAAUAUACAGAUGUGCGAAGGGUCUCAUCUGCUAUCCUGAUACCAAAGUGUGCAGUCGACCUCAGUGGCACAUGGCUACUGAAGUUAAUUACAGAAAAGUUUAGACAUUUUUUUCACGUUUAAUAAAUAAAGCAACCCUGGCAUCACGAGAGCUGGGGCUACAACUCCGCAAUUCCAACAUUUACUUGCUGUAAAGAAAAAAUGCUGCUGAAAAUACUAUCGUUCUUGGAAGCCUGCCUCUAUGGCAAUGUUGAGCUUUCAGAUUAUCGCCCCUGUCUACUUCACACAGGUGUGGAGAAGGCGUUUAAUAGCGCGCUAAUGACUAUUCAUGCUCAGCGGUCAUGUGUUUUCUGAAGUUGGAGCUCAGUGAAGUCUUGGUGCCAUGAUAUAACAGCGCACCUUGUAGAAGUUUUAACGUAACCAGUGUCAUUAAGAACAUAAGCUUUAUUUCGGCAAGUGUAAUUCAAUUCUUGUAUUUUCUUCGGGCACCGAAUCUUUCAAAAGUUCGAGUGUUUGUUAUUUCAAGCGCCAUUAAAAGAAUACAUCUUUUAUAUGUA